rnacentral:rRNA from 1 species
UAUAGCCAUACCACCUGCAGCAUGGACUAGGUAAUCCAUACUGAAACUAAACAGGUUUGGCCCUGGCCAGUAGUUAGAUGGGAGACCAACUGCGAAAGCUAGGUUGUGGUUGGAA